rnacentral:rRNA from 1 species
UACGUAUGGUGCAAGCGUUAUCCGGAUUUACUGGGUGUAAAGGGAGCGCAGGCGGCACGGCAAGCCUGAUGUGAAAGCCCGCGGCCCAACCGCGGGACUGCAUUGGGAACUACCGGGCUGGAGUGCCGGAGAGGUAGGCGGAAUUCCUAGUGUAGCGGUGAAAUGCGUAGAUAUUAGGAGGAACACCAGUGGCGAAGGCGGCCUACUGGACGGUGACUGACGCUGAGGCUCGAGAGCGUGGGGAGCAAACAGG